rnacentral:misc_RNA from 1 species
ACAGAACUGAUUCAGAGGGUCUGCAUCAGCAAGAGACAAUUGAUUCCCUUCCAAAGGCCAUUCGAUCAAGCAUUGCAAACUAUCUCUUCUAUAACUUUGUAAAUGAGGUGUACUUGUUUAAAGGGGUAUCAAAUGACUUACUUUUCCAACUGGUCGCGGAGAUGAAGCCUGAGUACUUUCCUCCCAGAGAAGAUGUGAUUUUGCAGAAUGAAGCACCGACAGACAUGUACAUAUUGAUCACUGGUUCAGUGGAUCUUAUUGUGCCAAAGGGGCCAACAGAGCAGGCUGUUGGAGAGGCAAAGGCAGGAGAUGUUGUUGGUGAGAUUGGUUUGCUUUGUUACAGGCCACAAAUGUUCACAGUUCGGACCAAACGAUUAAGUCAGCUGUUGCGUCUGAACCGUACUGCAUUUUUAAAUAUUGUACAGUCAAGUGUUGGAGAUGGGACGAUAAUUAUGAACAAUCUUCUUCAGCAUUUGAAACAGUUGAACGAUCCAAUGAUGGAAGGAAUUUUGGCAGAAACAGAGCAUAUGUUGGCUCAUGGGAGAAUGGCCCUGCCUCUUAGUUUGUGCUUCGCGGCAAUGAGAGGUGAUGAUCUAUUGUUGCAUCAGUUGCUUAAACGGGGUUCAGAUCCAAAUGAGUUGGAUGACAAUGGGCGGACUGC